ACGAUGUGGAGCGAAUCCAGAAAAUAAUGUCCCAGUUCAGAUUGCAGGCUGCAACUCGCCUGCAUGAAGUCGGAAUUGCUAGUAAUCGCAGAUCAGCAUGCUGCGGUGAAUACGUUCCCGGGCCUUGUACACACCGCCCGUCACACCAUGGGAGUUUGUAACGCCCAAAGUCGGUGGCCUAACCUUUAUGGAGGGAGCCGCCUAAAGCGGGACAGAUGACUGGGGUGAAGUCGUAACAAGGUAUC
rnacentral:rRNA from 1 species